rnacentral:rRNA from 1 species
UUAACACGUCAGGUCAAGGUGUAGCCAAUGAGCGGGGUAAAGAUGGGCUACAUUUUCUAGACACAAGAAAAACACCGUACGUCUAAUGAAACAUAGACCAAAAGGCGGAUUUAGCAGUAAACUGCGCAAGACGCGCCCAAUUGAAGCCUGCUCUGGGACAC